GGUUAAGUGAAUAAGGGCGCACGGUGGAUGCCUUGGCACUAGGAGCCGAUGAAGGACGGGACUAACACCGAUAUGCUUUGGGGAGCUGUAAGUAAGCUAUGAUCCAGAGAUUUCCGAAUGGGGGAACCCAAUAUCUUUUAUAGGAUAUUACUUUUCAGUGAAUACAUAGCUGAUUAGAGGUAGACGCAGAGAACUGAAACAUCUUAGUACCUGCAGGAAGAGAAAGAAAAUUCGAUUCCCUGAGUAGCGGCGAGCGAAACGGGAAGAGCCCAAACCAACAAGCUUGCUUGUUGGGGUUGUAGGACUCCAACAUGGUAGUCUGUUAGUAUAGUUGAAGGAUUUGGAAAAUUCCGCUAAAGAGGGUGAAAGCCCCGUAGACGAAAUGCUGACAACACCUAGGAGGAUCCUGAGUACGGCGGAACACGAGAAAUUCCGUCGGAAUCCGCGGGGACCAUCCCGCAAGGCUAAAUACUCCCUAGUGACCGAUAGUGAACCAGUACCGUGAGGGAAAGGUGAAAAGCACCCCGGAAGGGGAGUGAAAUAGAUCCUGAAACCGUGUGCCUACAACAAGUCAAAGCUCGUUAAUGAGUGAUGGCGUGCCUUUUGUAGAAUGAACCGGCGAGUUACGAUUGCAUGCGAGGUUAAGUCGAAGAGACGGAGCCGCAGCGAAAGCGAGUCUGAAUAGGGCGAAUGAGUAUGUAGUCGUAGACCCGAAACCAUGUGAUCUACCCAUGUCCAGGUUGAAGGUGCGGUAAAACGCACUGGAGGACCGAACCCACGUACGUUGAAAAGUGCGGGGAUGAGGUGUGGGUAGCGGAGAAAUUCCAAACGAACUUGGAGAUAGCUGGUUCUCUCCGAAAUAGCUUUAGGGCUAGCCUCGGAAUUGAGAAUGAUGGAGGUAGAGCACUGUUUGGACUAGGGGCCCAUCUCGGGUUACCGAAUUCAGAUAAACUCCGAAUGCCAUUCAUUUAUAUCCGGGAGUCAGACUGCGAGUGAUAAGAUCCGUAGUCGAAAGGGAAACAGCCCAGACCACCAGCUAAGGUCCCAAAAUAUAUGUUAAGUGGAAAAGGAUGUGGGGUUGCACAGACAACUAGGAUGUUGGCUUAGAAGCAGCCACCAUUUAAAGAGUGCGUAAUAGCUCACUAGUCGAGUGACCCUGCGCCGAAAAUGUACCGGGGCUAAACAUAUUACCGAAGCUGUGGACUACACCAUUAGGUGUAGUGGUAGGAGAGCGUUCUAAGGGCGUUGAAGGUCGAUCGUGAGGACGGCUGGAGCGCUUAGAAGUGAGAAUGCCGGUAUGAGUAGCGAAAGACAGGUGAGAAUCCUGUCCACCGUAUGACUAAGGUUUCCUGGGGAAGGCUCGUCCGCCCAGGGUUAGUCGGGACCUAAGCCGAGGCCGAUAGGCGUAGGCGAUGGACAACAGGUUGAUAUUCCUGUACCAGUUGUUUUUGUUUGAGCAAUGGAGGGACGCAGUAGGCUAAGGAAUGCAUGCGAUUGGAAGUGCAUGUCCAAGCAAUGAGUCUUGAGUAGAGUUAAAUGCUUUACUCUCUAAGGACAAGUUGUGACGGGGAGCGAAAUAAUAGUAGCGAAGUUCCUGAUGUCACACUGCCAAGAAAAGCUUCUAGUGAGAAAACAACUGCCCGUACCGUAAACCGACACAGGUAGUCGAGGAGAGUAUCCUAAGGUGAGCGAGCGAACUCUCGUUAAGGAACUCGGCAAAAUGACCCCGUAACUUCGGGAGAAGGGGUGCUGACUUCGGUCAGCCGCAGUGAAUAGGCCCAAGCGACUGUUUAUCAAAAACACAGGUCUCUGCAAAAUCGUAAGAUGAAGUAUAGGGGCUGACGCCUGCCCGGUGCUGGAAGGUUAAGAGGAUGGGUUAGCUUCGGCGAAGCUCAGAAUUGAAGCCCCAGUAAACGGCGGCCGUAACUAUAACGGUCCUAAGGUAGCGAAAUUCCUUGUCGGGUAAGUUCCGACCCGCACGAAAGGCGUAACGAUUUGGGCACUGUCUCAACGAGAGACUCGGUGAAAUUUUAGUACCUGUGAAGAUGCAGGUUACCCGCGACAGGACGGAAAGACCCCAUGGAGCUUUACUGUAGUUUGAUAUUGAGUGUUUGUACCACAUGUACAGGAUAGGUAGGAGCCGAUGAGACCGGAACGCUAGUUUCGGAGGAGGCGCUGGUGGGAUACUACCCUUGUGUUAUGAACCCUCUAACCCGCACCACUAAUCGUGGUGGGAGACAGUGUCAGAUGGGCAGUUUGACUGGGGCGGUCGCCUCCUAAAAGGUAACGGAGGCGCCCAAAGGUUCCCUCAGAAUGGUUGGAAAUCAUUCGAAGAGUGUAAAGGCAGAAGGGAGCUUGACUGCGAGACCUACAAGUCGAGCAGGGACGAAAGUCGGGCUUAGUGAUCCGGUGGUUCCGCAUGGAAGGGCCAUCGCUCAACGGAUAAAAGCUACCCUGGGGAUAACAGGCUUAUCUCCCCAAGAGUCCACAUCGACGGGGAGGUUUGGCACCUCGAUGUCGGCUCGUCGCAUCCUGGGGCUGUAGUCGGUCCCAAGGGUUGGGCUGUUCGCCCAUUAAAGCGGCACGCGAGCUGGGUUCAGAACGUCGUGAGACAGUUCGGUCCCUAUCCGUCGCGGGCGUUGGAAAUUUGAGAGGAGCUGUCCUUAGUACGAGAGGACCGGGAUGGACUUACCGCUGGUGUACCAGUUGUUCUGCCAAGGGCAUUGCUGGGUAGCUAUGUAGGGAAGGGAUAAACGCUGAAAGCAUCUAAGUGUGAAGCCCACCUCAAGAUGAGAUUUCCCAUUUCUUUAAGAAAGUAAGACCCCUGAGAGAUGAUCAGGUAGAUAGGUUGGAAGUGGAAGGCUAGUGAUAGUUGGAGCGGACCAAUACUAAUCGGUCGAGGACUUAACCAA
rnacentral:rRNA from 1 species